rnacentral:rRNA from 1 species
GCGACGACGGGUAGCCGGCCUGAGAGGGCGACCGGCCACACUGGGACUGAGACACGGCCCAGACUCCUACGGGAGGCAGCAGUGGGGAAUAUUGCACAAUGGGCGAAAGCCUGAUGCAGCGACGCCGCGUGAGGGAUGACGGCCUUCGGGUUGUAAACCUCUUUCAGCAGGGAAGAAGCGAAAGUGACGGUACCUGCAGAAGAAGCGCCGGCUAACUACGUGCCAGCAGCCGCGGUAAUACGUAGGGCGCAAGCGUUGUCCGGAAUUAUUGGGCGUAAAGAGCUCGUAGGCGGCUUGUCACGUCGGUUGUGAAAGCCCGGGGCUUAACCCCGGGUCUGCAGUCGAUACGGGCAGGCUAGAGUUCGGUAGGGGAGAUCGGAAUUCCUGGUGUAGCGGUGAAAUGCGCAGAUAUCAGGAGGAACACCGGUGGCGAAGGCGGAUCUCUGGGCCGAUACUGACGCUGAGGAGCGAAAGCGUGGGGAGCGAACAGGAUUAGAUACCCUGGUAGUCCACGCCGUAAACGUUGGGAACUAGGUGUGGGCGACAUUCCACGUCGUCCGUGCCGCAGCUAACGCAUUAAGUUCCCCGCUGGG